UACGAAGGGGGCUAGCGUUGCUCGGAAUGACUGGGCGUAAAGGGCGCGUAGGCGGUUUGCAUAGUCAGACGUGAAAUUCCUGGGCUUAACCUGGGGGCUGCGUUUGAUACGUGCGGACUUGAGUGGGGAAGAGGGUCGUGGAAUUCCCAGUGUAGAGGUGAAAUUCGUAGAUAUUCGGAAGAACACCAGUGGCGAAGGCGACUCACUGGCCCGAUACUGACGCUGAGGCGCGAAAGCGUGGGGAGCAAACAGG
rnacentral:rRNA from 1 species